rnacentral:lncRNA from 1 species
GACGGAAACUGAUAUAUGAUAGGUAGGUUAAUAACUGAAUGAAACAUUGAUAUGUACAUGGCCUGGUCGUUCGUGGAUGGUCGCUCUGUUCUGGAGGUCGCAGGUUCGAUUGCCUUCCCGUCCAAUUUUUUGUUUCCUUUUCCUAUUUUUGGUUUAUAAUUUAUGACUCGUCUCUUUUUUGUCUUCAAUUUUUUAUUUCUCUUAAUAUUUUGUUUUAAAUUUUAUAGAUGUACACUAACGUAAAAUAGCAUUAUAAGAUAAUUUGUAUAUUUGUUUUAUUUUUUUGUGCUCCAAUUUUUUUGGAUGAGUUGCAUAUUCCGAAAACCAUAACGGCAGAAAUAUUAUAUGUGCGAGUGUAAUUAUAUAGAGCUGCACAUUUUGAAAGCCUAAAUUCGCA